rfam:Virgibacillus chiguensis strain CGMCC 1.6496 genome assembly, contig: Ga0104465_101
UCAAUGGAUUUACUUAAAUCCACUGUAUGGUUUAGAAAUAUUGAAAG